rnacentral:rRNA from 1 species
GACGAACCGUACGAACGUUAUUCGGAAUCACUGGGCUUAAAGGGUGCGUAGGCGGCGCAGUAAGUUGGGUGUGAAAUCCCUCGGCUUAACCGAGGAAUUGCGCUCUAAACUGUCGUGCUAGAGGAACCUAGAGGUGAGCAGAACUGAUGGUGGAGCGGUGAAAUGCGUUGAUAUCAUCAGGAAUACCGGAGGCGAAGGCGGCUCACUGGGGGUUUUCUGACGCUGAGGCACGAAAGCGUGGGGAGCAAACAGG